CCUAGUUGUAGUUUAGCUGUCGAAGUAGCCCUUGAGAGUUUUAUUGUCCACAGUUCUCGUUUGAAAAGACUCAAGGUUUUGUUUGUGUAUUAGCCGACAAUGAGUUUUUCAAAUGUUUCAAAAUAAGUUACAUGCUUAAAGUGGUGUCGUUUCUUAUCGAAUUCGAGUAUUCUUCAUGGAGUCAAAGGAUGAUAUUACCCUGACAGGAAACGUUCUCAAGAUUGUGUAAAUCAACUACUUCUGCUCUGACAAGAAGUUGAAGUGGUAACUGUGCAGAAAAAUAGAAAUAAUAUAAAAAAAAAGAUGGAAAGUUACGAUGAAGUGAUAGCUUUCCUGGGAGAAUGGGGAUAUUACCAGUGGACUAUUUUCUUUUCCCUAAGUUCCAUUGUUAUUCCAAAUGGCUAUUUAGCUCUUUUGAUGGUGUUCCUGGCAGAUACCCCUCAACAUCACUGUCGUCUGAACAACUCUUCAAAUGUGUCCUUCAUGAAUCUAAGUUUUCAGCUGCCAAUGGAGGAAAUGGCUGGAGAGAAAACUUACAGCAAGUGUACCAGGUACCGAAUUGACAAGGACGCUCGUUUCAACGGCACAGCAGUAGAACAUUGUGUGGAUGGUUGGGUGUUCAGCACAGAGAGAUACACUUCAACGAUUGUCACUCAGUGGGAUCUAGUUUGUGACCAGAACUGGAAAGGACCAUUUACCACAUCAGUAUUUUUCAUUGGAGUGCUGUUUGGCUCAAUAAUCUCUGGACAACUUUCAGACAGGCACGGAAGAAAGCCGGUUCUCUUUGGAGCUAUAGCCAUACGGUCAACUGCAGGCUUCCUGCAACUGGCCUCUCAGAGCUGGGAAAUGUUUUGCACACUGCACUUUUUUGUUGGCCUUGGAGAUGUCUCAAGUUACUUAACAGCUUUUGUUCUAGGGAUAGAAAUCCUUGGCAAGUCUGAGAGGGUUGCUUUCUCGACACUUGGCAUCUGUAUGUUUUUUGCCAUUGGCUACAUUCUCCUACCCGUCCUUGCUUAUUUAAUCAGAGAUUGGAAGAUGCUACUACUCACUUUGACUCUUCCGGAAAUCCUAUAUGUUGCUCUGUGGUGGAUUAUCCCUGAAUCCCCCAGAUGGUUGUUCACUCAAGGCCGAAAGGAAGAAGCUGAGGCAAUAUUGAAAGUGGCUGCCAGGAGAAAUGGAAUCACGCAUGUUGGAGCAAUAUUCAAUACCACUUAUAUUACUGUGGAUCCCACUGAUACAAAAAGACAUUCACAGAAGUAUUUGGACUUGAUUGCCACAACCAACAUAAAAAAUGUCACCGUCAUCUUGUUAUUGAUAUGGCUGAUCUGCACCAUUGGUUACUAUGGAUUAUCCCUCAGUACUCCAAACCUACAUGGAGACCCCUACAUUAACUGUUUCAUCUCUGCAGCCAGUGAAAUUGUAGUAUAUGUGAUAGUCUGGUGGCUGAUACGUGCCUCACCUCGACGGAUUGUCAUUGCUAUCUUCUUACUACUUAGUGGCUCCAUGUUGCUUUUCAUUCAGCUCGUUCCUUCAACUCUUCAACUUGUGGUCACAAUAUUGGUGAUGAUUGGUAAAUCUGGUGUUACAGCAGCCUUCACAAUAGUCUACAUCUACUCAUCUGAGCUGUAUCCCACUGUGGUGAGGAACAUGGGAGUUGGCGUAUGUUCCAUAGCAUCCAGAAUCAGCAAUAUCUUCUCCCCCUACAUUAGUUACAUGGUCAUCCAUAGUGGUGUUUUGCCCUUCAUUCUAAUGGGCAGUUUCAUGAUAAUAUCCGGAUUAAUAAGCUUAUUGCUGCCUGAAACGCACAACCAGCCUCUUCCAGAGACAAUUCAGCAGAUGCAGCCAAUUAACUGCUCAACAGCCAUCAAAAGAAUCAACUUCUGCACUGUGUCACAUGAUCACGCAGCUCCACGGCAGGACUAGGUUAUCCAGUGGGAAGAAUCACUGCUUCACUCCACACAGCUCCUGAGGCCAAUCUCAGCUCUGCUCUCAAAUUGACAAGCAGAGGAUAGGUGAAAGCAAUUUAGCAUGACUCGCUCUGUGACGCACACGAAUGCACAGCACACAAACCGUAGAAAAGAUUAUCAAUCUAUGAAGGGUCUCAGCCCGAAAUGUCGACUGUUUACUCUUUUCCAUAGAUGCUGCCUGGGUUGAUGAGUUCCUCCAGCAUUUUGUGUGUAUUACUUUGAUUUCCAGCAUCUGCCGAUUUUCUCUCAUUUGUUCUUACAGGUAAUUUAUGUGAUCUAUUUUCAAACUGCUUCAUGCAGGCCAGCUUAUACUUCAAAAAUGUAAACUUAGGCACGUGAAUAUGGUAAAAUGCUAUUGAGUUGAGCAGUGGCUGGAAGCCAAAGGAAAACUUUUGUUUUAUAUCUUCCAAUUAUUUAAUGCUUUCAAUUCAAAAAGAAGAUUUUUGGUCAUGUCCCCGGUUGCAGAAAUAUUGGAAAGAUAUUUUUGAUAUUAUUUCAACGGUUUUAAAUAUAGACUUACAACCGCAUCCAAUUACUGCUAUUUUUGGACUACCAAUGUUAGAUUUAAAUAAUUUAACCUCUUCAUCACCAAGGAUGAUGGCAUUUCUUACUUUAAUGGCUAGAAGGUCUAUUUUGUUGAAUUGGAAAGAGAUUAACCCUCCUAAGGUAUUUCAUUGGUUUUCACAAACUAUGCUGUGUUUGAAUUUGGAGAAAAUUAGAAGUGCAGUUUAUGACCCUUCCAUCAAGUUUGAAAAAACUUGGAGGCCAUUCAUUCAGCAUUUUCACUUAAUGUAAUAUCUUUAUUUCCAAACUUAUUUUAUUUCUCUGUAUUGCUGUUUGAGGGGAAUGGAGUUGUCGGCACUGAGGUUUUCUUCUUUUUCAUUUUUAAGUUCUUAGAUUUGCCCAAGUCUUUUAGUUUAGUUGAUUAAUUUUGUCUUUCUUUUGGGAUGGGAUUUUUUUUUUUGGUUUUUUUUUCUUUUUCAUGAUUUUUUUUUUAGUUUUUUUUAAUUUGUAUUACCCGUUGUUAGUUUUAUAUGAUUGGGAGUUUAGUCAAAUUUCAAUAUUGGACUUUACGAUUACUGUUUGUAAGUGUAACAAUUUAUCUCCUAUUAUUUGUAUCAUUGCUAUGUUUUGUUUAUAUAUUUUAAAAUUAAUAAAAAGAUUGAAGAAAAAAAAAAGAAAAAAAGAAGAUUUGAAAAUAAAAGUAAAGGUAACUGGUCCUGGUAAGACCAUAUCUGGAAUAUUUUGCACAAGUCUUGUUCUCUACCUAGUAAACAGUACAACUACAAUCGAAGAGUGCAGUGAAGAUGUCACCGGAUUGAUGUCUGGGAUGGCAUGCUUGUUGAGUGAGGAGAGAUAAGACUGUUGCCCUAACGUGGAGUAUGUUUACAUAUGAACACCUGAAUUAGGAAGAUAUGCAGACUACUUGCCCCAUUAAGCCUACUCCAUUCACUCAAGAAAAGCAUGACUUUAACGUUCCCGCUAAUUAUUUUUACAUUUGCAUAUUCUAACCAUAGCUCCGAACAGGAAAUUUUUACACGGCUUGAAAAUUGUGUGGCGUUUUAAAUUGUUUUUUUUUGUAA